rnacentral:rRNA from 1 species
AACCUUUACACUACACGAAAGUGUGAUAAGGGGAUCCUGAGUGCUUAUGCGAUUUAGCAUAGGCUUUUGUCAAGAGUAAAUUCCUUGGCGAAUAAGUGGUGGGCAAGACUGGUGCCAGCCGCCGCGGUAACACCAGCGCCACAAGUGGUGAUCAUAUUUAUUGGGCCUAAAGCGCUCGUAGCCGGUUCAAUCAAUCCUUUGUGAAAUCGAUAGGCUUAACUUAUCGGCGUGCAGAGGACACUGAUGAACUAGGAACUGGGAGGAGUCAGAGGUAUGCUUGGGGGAGCAGUAAAA